GUUCCUGUGGUUGAAUUGGUACAACGAUGUUUCUUCAAGUCAUCGGUCUCAGUUAAAAUCUGAGCGGGAAUA
rnacentral:tRNA from 1 species